rnacentral:lncRNA from 1 species
UGAUGAGCAAAAUGCUAUGGAUACAUUAAUAUUAAAUGUUAAAACAAAAAGCAUAAAUAGUAAGGUAAAUACAAGAGAAAUAGCAAUAUUACAUAGAGUAUAUUACAGAUUAAUGAAACUAACCUUAGGCCCUAAGGUUAAAUUAAUUAGUAAUAAAGGACCUACCAUGCUUAUGUAAGCUAGCCAUAAUCAUAAUAAUACCUUUGUCCCCAAAAUGAUAAAAUGGAAUGAUGUAUUAAUAAAUGAUAAUUGACAUUUCGACUCCGUAACGGAGCCAGAAAUAGAAGAACAUUCAAAUAUUGAACAAGUAGUACAAUAUCUAGAUGAAUCUAUAAAUUUAAAAUUUCUAAGAUCUCAAUCAUUUAAUCAAGCAUAUUCCAGUAGAAGAAUGUCCUUUUCUAGAACUUUAGUCUCCAAGUCUGUAGAAGAAAGGGAAGUAACAUUAGAAGAUAUUGAAAGAAAAUUAAAAGGAGUUGAUUUCUCAAAAACAAUUCCAAAAGUAGAAUAUGAAUCUAGAAAUUUAAAAGCUAAAAAAAUCAAUAAGUUCCACUGCUAGUUAAAUGCUAAGAGAAAGAAAUUCUCUAUGCAUGAUUAGGUCAGAUGUAGUAUUUGAACCUGAGUUUGAAUAUUUAGAUAAAUUAUGGAAUAGUCCAUAAAAUUAUAUUAAAAAGGUAUGGUAUAAGCAAAAAUAUUCAUUAAAAGAAAGAUACUCUUUUAGAGAAAAAUGGUGCAAUGAUAUGAAAAGAUUAAGAUGUAAUAUUGAAUUUUUUAAAUGAUUUAAAAUCACAAAAAAAUUAGCUGAUCAAAAGAUUCAUUUUACAUGAUUAUUAAUAAAUGGUAUACUACUAGUAAUAAAAUUGUAGAAUCAGCAAUUCCUACAUUAGAAGAAAUUAGUCUAACAGUAGAAGGCAGAGUUGUUACUGCCUCACCCUUUAAAUUAGAUAUAGUACAUACUAAAGCUAAUCCAACAAAUAAGGAUAUAAAUAAAAUACUCCAACAAAAUAACUAUACAAAUGAGUUAUUACAUGUAGUAUCUAAACAGAUUCUCAAAGCCGAAAAUAAAUCAGCUUUUACAGAUAAACCAAGUUCUUCUUAUAAUUAUAAAAAAUGAGAAACUCAUCCAAUUUUUAAAUUACCAGAAUUCUCUAAAGAUAAAUUUCCAAAAUUUGAAGAAAAGUUUGCAGUAACCGAUGAUAUUUUAGGUAAAAAUAAUUAAAGAUUAAAAUCCGAAUUAAAAGUCUCCAAUGACAAGAUUAUAAGAACUUUAUCAGAAACAAAUAAUAAUGAAAUUAACAAACUAAGUUCUAAACAUUCAGUUAAAAGGAAUUAUUAUAAAAAGACCACAUUUCCAGAUAUACAGUAUGAAGAAAAUGAAUUUUUAUCUCAUACUUCACAUUCUGGAAAAGAAGUCGCAAAAUGGAAUAUUAAUGGAUUAGCAGAACAUCAAAUAUAUAAUAAACUACAUGAAAUGGGAAUGGCCAUUACGACAUAUAAAAUUGCCAGAUUUUCAGAUAAACAAGCAACGUUUAUGAUUAUAUCAGGUUUUACAGGUUGUACAAAAUAUUAGUGGGAUAAUUAUCUCACAGAUAAUAAUAGACAAAAUAUUUUAAAUGCUUCAACUAUUACUCAAGCUAUUAAAACCGAGUCAACAGGGCAAACGAUUGUAAAUCAAGUCUUAGAAGAUGCCACCGCCACUUUGAUUUAUAGUAUAGCUAAGCAUUUUAUAGGAGAACCUCAACUUUUCCAAGAUAGAAGUAUAGAGAUAUUAUCAAAUCUAUCAUAUCCAAAGUUAGACGAUUUUAGAUGGUAUAGAGAUGUUUUCUUAAACAAAGUCAUGAUUAGAGAAGAAUGUAAUCAUGAUUAUUGGAAGGAAAAAUUUAUAAGUGGCUAACCAACAUUAUUUGCAGAAAAGGUUAGAAAAAAAUUAAAAGAUAGGUUUGAGGGAAAAAAUCCUUAUAGUACUUUAACUUAUGGCGAUAUUAUAAGUUUUAUAAAUAGCACAAAAUUAGAAUUAUGUACAGAUGUUAAGCUUAAAAAUCUACUAAAAAGAGAUAAUAAAAUUAAAAUAUAGGUUUGAGGGAAAAAUUCCUUAUAGUAAUUUACAUAGCCAGCAGAGGUUAAAUUAUAAUAUCUGGAAAGUCUAUGCGCGAUCCGAGAAUUGAGCGUUCGAACCUAUGAUAUGAUACAUCAUAGCGUAAGAAAAGAGCAUGCAAUCAGUACUUUGAAUAUACUGGUAUGGUAAAUGAGGUAGGAUGAUAUGCAUGGUUUCAUGUGCAUGAAUAAUAACUGACUGAAUAGCAUGAAGUACUGAAUAAAAUGUAUGGAAUCUAUAAGUACUAAGGAUGCAUAUAAUCGGUAAAUAUUGAGGAUGCGUGACCAAGAAUAAAAUAUGUUUUAAAUAUAAUCUAUAACUGAAAUACUAAAAUUUGAUAACUGAUAGUUGUAUGCUAUGGUAAAUGCAAACCUAAAUAGAUGUAUACGGAAUACUGAACUACUGUGGGAGCUAUCUAUAACCGACAUGCCCUAAUGUACUAUCAAGGUCCAACCUGUAACCCCAUCUGGAAGGAUGUUAAUACCGUACCACGGGUACUAAUAAUGGUUGUGUAGAUCCACUAAUCUAAUAUCCCAAAGGACAAGUGUGUCAUGCCUAUUUGACGGGGGACCCCUCAAAUCCUACGCUGGCUAUGUAGUUCUAGAACCUGGGGACUGCUACUAACGUCUCAUGCCUACUGAUGGGGGAGACAAAUGCCUCAUAUGUACUGACAGAGGAGACACCAUCCCUACGUUCACUCGGUUCUAAGUUUUACUCCAAACUGAAGGACAUUGAAUUCAAAACUUGUCUAAGUUUAACUGAUCUUAAUGACUGACUGAACUGGUAAUGCUCAUGAUAUAUUAUGAAAUCAUUUUGUGGGUACUAAAAACUAAGUAAAAUAGCUAAAUUUUGGGUAUUCAUAACCCCCAUCACUCGAUAGAAAUGAUAGCAAAGUUGUACUAAAAUUUGAGGGCAUAAUAUAAAAGCAUUUAUUCAAAAUUACUUUUUUUAGGCAUUUCAUCAAACACAAGAUAUGCAUAGUUUAGGCUAAACUUGGAAAUAGUUUAAAGCUUGUAGGAAUAGCAUGAUUUUAACAUCAACAUCACUAAUUAUGAAUUGAAUUGUCAAAUAACACUAUUCAAAUAUAUAGGGUUUAAUAACAACAACAAUUUUAUGUAAACAUGGUAUAGAAUUAAGAUUCAUUGGGAUUCAUGGUUAAAAUCACAAUAGCUUGUAAAAAUCACAACUUUGAUUUUGAAAUUAGAUUUUUAGACUCCAUGGGUUAAAGGAAUCCAUGGAUGAACAUAUAACAUACCUCAAUUGAAGAAUUCUUGAAAGUUCUUGAAUUGGGAUCCUUGAAUUUGAAUUAUCUUGGAAAAAAUGGUGAAUUUUGGAGUUUCUUAGAGUUGAAUGUUGAAUCUUUAGGGUUUCUUAGAGAGAAAUUUGGUGAGGAAUGAGUAUAUAUUGCUUAUAGUAAUGUCUAAUAUCUUGUGUUUACGACUUUGGGGUAGUAGGGAAAAGAUCCAAUUGCCCCUCACUCUUAUAAACUGAAAAAUUCUUAACCCAGAUUGCGAUAUUGAGGCUUGCUGCUGAGCGGUAUUGAUGCCAUCGGUAUUGCACCGUCGAGCGGGAUAAUAGUAGUGACCUACUUCUUUUAGAAAACUCCAAUUUGGUGGUUUACUAUUGAGCAAUAUUGGCUUCACCGCUAUUGCACCACCGAGCGGUGUAGUCGCGGCAGCCCACUGUCUCACACGAAAAAUAGUAUAACGUUUCACUCGGUUAUCAAAUUUAGGCAAAAAUGGUAUCGUAGGAAAGAUAAUUCAAUUAUAUAUUUGUUGAUGUGUUAUGAGCUCAAAAAUGUUUUGUAAAAUGAAAGAUAUGAUCAUUUAAAGUUGACUAUAGUAUCAUCCUUCUCAAGAACUCAAUCGGUAAGGGAUAUUUUGAUUCGUCUAAUAGGUAGGAGUUAUUUGAAUCCAUAAUAUACAUCAAACUCACUCAUAAAACUACCAAGACACUAUAAUUUAUUUCUCGUGAACUUGAAGAAUAUCCCUAACAUUAUCUCCCCCUUUGAAACAUUCUUCCUCGAAUGAGAUUAGUUAAGCUGAAAACUCUGAGGAAUUUUUGUUACAUGCCGAAUAUUUAUGAUGGCAACAUGAUUACAUGACUGAGUUUGAAAGAUGACACAAGAAUGAAAUAGUUGUGUGUAUGCAUGACUAACAUGAGAAUGAUAUGCAGCUGGAACAGAGCAUAGAAAAGAGAAAUUCUAAAAAGAUUGUUACCUUAAGUUGAAUCUGAGUUUGCAGAGAUAAAUGAGGGUACUUGGUCUGCAUAUCUACCUAUGCUUCCCAAGUUUCUCCCUCAACGGAAUGGUUCCUAUAAAGAACUUUGACCAAGGUAACUUCUUUGUUCCUUAAACUACGAAUCUGGGGAUCAAGGAUCUCAACUGGAAUUUCUUUGUAAGAAAGGUUGUUCUAAACAUCUACACUUUCUUAGGUAACAACUACAGCUGGGUCACCAAUACACUUGUUCAACAAAGAGAUAUGUAAUACUAGGUGCACUGAUGCGAAGUCUACAGGCAAUUCAAGCUCAUAAGCCACCCUUUUUAAAUGGCUCAAAAUUCUGUAAGGGCUAACAUAUCAGGGACUAUGCUUCCUCUUCCUACCAAACCUCUUAACCCCCUUCAUAGGAGAGGUUUUCAAAUAUAAAAAGUCACUAAUCUCAAACUCAAGAUCUUUCCUUCUCACAUCUACAUACAAUUUUUGUCAGCUCUGGGCUAUCUUAAGCCUCUCCUUGAUAAACUGUACUUUCUCCAAAAAAUCAAACACCAAGUUAGGCCCCACCACUGUGGCCUCACCUACUUCAAACAAACCGAUGGGAGAUCUACAUCUCCUUCUCAUAAAGUACCUCAAACGGAGCCAUCUAAAUAUUGAAAUGAUAGUUGUUAUUAUACACGAAUUCAAUCAAAGGCAAGUGGUAAUCCCAAAUACCCUUAAAGUCAACUACACAUGCUCUCAACAUAUCCUCAAGGGUCUGAAUGGUCCUUUCUACCUAACCAUCUGCCUGAGGGUGAAAGGUUGUUCUAAGGUGAACUUGGGUACCAAGACCCUUCUGAAAAGCUUUCCAAAAGUAAGAGGUAAACUGAGUACUUCUGUCUGAAAUAAUAGAUAGCAGAAUACCAUGCCACUUAACCAACUCUCUGAGAUCGAGCUUAGCAUAGUCCUCAGCUGAAUAAGAAGUAUGGACUGGAAAGAAAUGGGCUGAUUUGGUCAUCCUAUCCACAAUGACCCGAAUUGAAUUAUAUUGCUAAUGUGUAUGAGGUAAACCUGUCACAAAAUCCAUGUUCACUUCCUCCCACUUCCAAGUAGGAAUACUGAACUCCUGCAUAGACAUAAUUGGCUUUUAAUGUUCAAUCUUAACCUGAUGACAACUGGAGAACUUAGCUACAAACUCUUUAAUAUCUCUCUUCAUCCCACUCCACCAAUAGAUUUCCCACAAAUUGCGGUAUAUCUAUGUAGCCCCUGGAUAAAUCUAGUAACACGCACCAUGCGUUUCUAUAAGAAUUUGAUAUCUCAACUCAUCAACACACGGUAAAUAUAGUCUACCAUAGCAACGCAAUACACUAUCUUCGUCUUAGGAGAAAACCUCUACUUUCUGAUCUCUAAUUGACUUUUUCAGCCUCACUGGACUAGGAUGCCUAUCUUGCUUUUCUUUUACUUCAACAACCAAAGAAGAUUCCAAACUAUUCUACACCCAAACGCUACCCUCAACUGAAUCAACCAACCGAACACCUAAUCUGGCAAGCUGAUGAACUUCCUUGACUAACGUAUUUUUAUCAUCCUCAACAUAAGCAACACUACCCUUAGACAAUCUACUAAGGGAAUCUGCCACUACAUUGGCUUAAUCCAGGUGAUACAAAACACUCAUAUCAUAAUCUUUCAGCAAUUCUAACAUCUCUUCUGACACAUAUUUAAAUCUUUCUGUGAAAACACAUAUUGCAAGCUUUUGUGAUCGGUGAACACAUCAACAUCACCCCAUACAAAUAAUACCUCCAAAUCUUUAAGGAAAACACAACAACUGCUAACUCAAGAUCAUGGGUGGGUAAUUCUUUUCAUGGAGCUUAAGUUUCCUGAAGUCAUAGGCCACAACUUUACCUUUUUGCAUCAAAACAUACCCCAAACCAACUCUAGAAGUAUCACAGUACACAAUAAACCCAUCUGAACCAUCUAGUAACAUCAAAACUGGGGUUGUGAUAAGUCGAGUCUUCAAAUCUUGAAUACUCUUCUCACAAGAAUCUGACCACUAAAACUUAACUUUCUUUUGAGUCAAUCUGGAAAUAAGGGACGUAAUAAAUGAAAAUCCUUCAACAAACCACUGGUAAUAGCUAGCCAAACCUAAGAAAUUCUUAAUAUCUGAUGGAGAGAUGGUUCUAGGCUAGUUUCUCACCGCUUUGGUCUUUUGAAGAUCAACUCUAAUGUCAUAACUAAAAAUAUGGCCAAGAAAAGUUGCUGAUCUUAGCCAAAAUUCGUACUUACUGAAUUUAGCGAACAACUAAUGGGCUCUAAGUGUAUGGAACACUAUUCUGAGGUGGUCUGCAUGAUCAUUUUCACUAUGGGAGUAGACAAGAAUGUCAUUAAUAAAGACUAUGACAAACAUUUCUAAGUACUAUUUAAGCACUCAGUUCAUCAAGGCCAUGGAGGCUACUGGGGAAUUCGUCAGACCAAAGGACAUGACUAGAAACUUGAAGUGACCAUAUCAAGUUCUAAAAUCUAUUUUUGGAAUGUCACAUUCUCUAAAUUUGAGCUGAUGAUAGUCGGAUCUAAGGUCUAUCUUAGAAAAGUACCUGGUACCCUGAAGUUGGUCGAACAAGUUAUCGAUUCUAGGAAGUGGGUAUUUGUUCUUGAUUGUGACUUUGUUCAACUGAUAGUAGUCAAUACACAUUCUUAGCGAACCAUCUUUCUUAUGCACGAGUAGGACUAAUGCACCCCAUAAGAAAAUGUUGGGCCUGAUGAAUCCCUUGUCUAGGAGAUCUUUCAACUCUUUGAGUUUGGCUGGAGAUAUUAUGUAUGGUGGAAUAGAGAUAGGUUGAGUUUCUUAAAGAAGGUCUAAUUCAAAGUCAAUUUCCCUUUCGGGAGAAACUCCGAGAAAAUCUUUAGGGAAUAUAUUUGGAAAUUCUCUCACCACUAAAACUGACUCAAGAGUUGAAGUCUCACAAUUAGAAUCUUUGACUCGGACAAAAUGAUAAAUAUACCCCUUGGAUAUCAUUUUCCUCACUCUAAGUUAUGAAACAAGCUUACCCCUAAGCAUUGUAGUUCUACCCCUCUAUUAAAGGACUAUUCAUUUGGAAAUUGAAAAUAAAAAACUCUGUUUCUGCAAUAAACUGACGCAUAGCAUGAGUAGAGCCAAUCUAUGCCGAGAAUGACAUCAAAAUCUAUCAUAUCUAGCUCUAUAAGAUCUACUGAAGUAACUUUGUAAGACACUAUAAUUAGGAAGUUCCUGUAUACCCGCAGGGCUAUAAUAGAGACACCCACUAGGGUAGACACCAAAAAUGGCUCUGCUAAGAUUUUGGAACUAACUCCAAAGUUUAUGGCUAUAUAAGGUGUUACAAAAGAAAGAGAAGCUCCAGGGUCUAAUAAAGCAUAAACAUGUAAAUAGAAGACUUGCAACGUACCAAUAAUCACAUCAGGAAAACUUUCCUAAUCUUAUCGGUACUAAAUUGCAUAUAGUCUGUUCUGGCGCUGACCACUGGUGGCACUGGAAGUGGCGCCCUGUUGGGUCGAGUGACCUGAUGGUGCAGCUGAAGAGUUAUCCUGACCCUGUUGGUAAUCAUUCCUACUUUUCCAUAUACCUGUCGUACACUCACUUAAUCUGUGGCCUGGCUUUCCAUAUCUGAAACACACAUUGCUGCCAGCUCUGCACACACCCUGAUGAUUCCUCUUGAACUUCUGGCAAAUAAGAUUAGUUCGAGCACUACUAACACUGGCCUAAGGCUUAGGGCCUGGUGCCAUAUCCCUUUUAUCAUUCCUAAAUUUGGUUACUGGGGCACUAGAUGAAGAUAGAGAUGGGAAUAAAGAUUUUUUAUGGAAUUAAGGACAAUUACCACCUUCUGACCUCGACAGAUAAAAGUUAAAGCUACCUGUCCUGGCUUACUUAUUCUUCCUCUCCUUCUUCUUAAGCUUUUACUCCUUAAUCUAUUGAGCAUGGACCAUUAGCCUAGAUAAGUUUAUCUCCUUUAUCACCAUUGCAGUUCUACACUUUUUGACCAUACAGUCAAACACCCCAGACAUGAACUUACUCAUCCUAGAACAGUUAUUAGCAACCACAUGAGGAGCAUACCUAGAUAGCUGAGUUAAUUUGAGAAAAUACUCUCUCACACUCAUGGUGCCCUACCUCAAACUGAUAAACUCUAACACUUUGUCGUCCCUCAUCUCUAAUAGGAAGAAAUUAUAUAAGGAGGUUGUAUCAAACUCCUCUUACUCUACAGGCCCUGCAUUUGGGCCUCUAUCCCCUUUCCACUGCUUAAACUAGGUAUGGGCUACAUCCUACAGCUGGUAAGCAAGUAAUUCAGCACUUUCACUAAAAGUCAUCCCUAUAAUAUCGGUUAACUUUGGACCAUGUCUAAGAAUUCUUGCAGAUCCUCUUCAGAUUUAGAUCCCAAAAAUAGAGAAGGAUUCAUUUAGGUAAAGUCCCAAAUCCUAGCUGCGGCAGUAUUGGCCACUGGGUUAGCUGGAAUGGUAACUAGCCGCUUAUUUUGGACUGCUACAGAGUGAGCUAGAGUAGUGAAUGGAACUUUGAACUCUGCAUGAAAAACAUUCUCAUUCAAGGGAUUUUGCUUAUCGAGUGGAGGUGUUGGCUGGUUUCUGUUUCUUUUUCUAUUAGUCUUUCUGGGAGGCAUGUUCUAUAAAUGAAAGGAAGAUUGAGUUAGAAAAAAAGUUUAGCUUAGGCUUAUGGUCAUUCGCAUGACAUAAAUACUGAAAGAAGGGAAACUUUUCCUAAAACAUCUUGUAGCCUCCUAUCCAUAAGUGUGGUGCUCUUCACACCCAUGCACAAGACUCUACUUGACGCAUCUUUCAAACUUUCUAGAAUACUUUAAAACCUUAGACUCUGAUACUAAGUUUGUAACACCCCGAGAGUACACCUUGUGCGUCACACGGUGCUUCCAAUAUUGAGCGACCACAAGCUAACCCAUGAGCUGGCACUUGCUGUGAGCACUGAGUAAAACUGAUAUCAAAAGAUCAUAUAUGAAAAUAAACUGAGAAAUGCCAUAAGGUUUUAAGUCAUAAAUCUGAUAAGUCUGUAAGACAAAAAUGAUAAUGCUGAUAAAGACAACUGAAAUCUUAAAACUAACUAACUAUUUGUACUAUUCUGAAAAGCCUCUACUAACUGAAUAAGAGUUGAUGGGAUAGGCCCCAACUAACUCCAACUAACUAUUGAAUUGAAAACAAAAAAAUAAAUAUAGUCUAUCCUUAAAUUAUGAGGAAUCACCACUGCUAUGGCUGGUAAUUUAGAAAGUCUAUGUGCGAUCCGGGAACUGUGUGUCCGAACCUAUGAUAUGAUACAUCAUAGCGCAAGAAUAGAGUAUUCAAUCAGUACUUUGAAUGUACUGGUAUGCUAAAUGAGGUAGGCUGAUAUACAUGAUUUCAUGUGCAUGAAUAAUAACUGACUGAAUAGCAUGGAGUACUGAAUAGAAUGUAUGGAAUCUAUAAGUACUGAGGAUGCAUAUAAUCAUUAAAUACUGAGGAUGCGUGACCAAGCAUAAAACAUGUUCUGAAUAUAAUCUAUAACUGAAAUACUGAAAUUUGAUAACUAAAUAAGUGAUAACUGUAUGAUAUGGUCAAUGUAAACCUAAAUUGAUGUAUACAAAAUACUGAACUAAGACUAUAGGAGCUAGCUAUAACCUACAUGCCCUAAUGUACUAUCAGGGUCCAACUUGUAACCCCAGCUGGAAGGGUUUUAGUACUGUUCCAUGGGUACUAACAAUUGUUGUGUGGAUCUACUAAUCUAAUUUCCCGAAGGAUAAGGGUAUCAUGUCUAUCUGACGGGGGACCCCUCAAAGCCUAUGUUGGCUAUGUAGUUCUGGAAC